rnacentral:rRNA from 1 species
AGUGAACGCUGGCGGCAGGCCUAACACAUGCAAGUCGAGCGGCAGCGCGGGGGCAACCCUGGCGGCGAGCGGCGGACGGGUGAGGAAUGCAUCGGAAUCUGCCUCGUUGUGGGGGAUAACGUAGGGAAACUUACGCUAAUACCGCAUACGACCGAGAGGUGAAAGUGGGGGACCGCAAGGCCUCACGCGAUGAGAUGAGCCGAUGCCGGAUUAGCUAGUUGGUGGGGUAAAGGCCCACCAAGGCGACGAUCCGUAGCUGGUCUGAGAGGAUGAUCAGCCACACUGGAACUGAGACACGGUCCAGAGUCCUACGGGAGGCAGCAGUGGGGAAUAUUGGACAAUGGGCGCAAGCCUGAUCCAGCCAUGCCGCGUGUGUGAAGAAGGCCUUCGGGUUGUAAAGCACUUUUGUUGGGGAAGAAAGCGUACGGAUUAAUACUUCGUGCGGAUGACGGUACCCAAAGAAUAAGCACCGGCUAACUUCGUGCCAGCCGCCGCAGUAAUAC